rnacentral:rRNA from 1 species
GACGAACGCUGGCGGCGUGCCUAAUACAUGCAAGUAGAACGCACAGUUUAUACCGUAGCUUGCUACACCAUAAACUGUGAGUUGCGAACGGGUGAGUAACGCGUAGGUAACCUGCCUGGUAGCGGGGGAUAACUAUUGGAAACGAUAGCUAAUACCGCAUAAUAUUGAUUAUUGCAUGAUAAUUGAUUGAAAGAUGCUAUUGCAUCACUACCAGAUGGACCUGCGUUGUAUUAGCUAGUAGGUGAGGUAACGGCUCACCUAGGCGACGAUACAUAGCCGACCUGAGAGGGUGAUCGGCCACACUGGGACUGAGACACGGCCCAGACUCCUACGGGAGGCAGCAGUAGGGAAUCUUCGGCAAUGGACGAAAGACUGACCGAGCAACGCCGCGUGAGUGAAGAAGGUUGUCGGAUCGUAAAGCUCUGUUGUAAGAGAAGAACGGGUGUGAGAGUGGAAAGUUCACACUGUGACGGUAUCUUACCAGAAAGGGACGGCUAACUACGUG